GCUGGCGGCGUGCUUAACACAUGCAAGUCGAACGGAAAGGCCCUGCUUUUGUGGGGUGCUCGCGUGGCGAACGGGUGAGUAACACGUGAGUAACCUGCCCUUGACUUUGGGAUAACUUCAGGAAACUGGGGCUAAUACCGGAUAGGAGCUCCUGCUGCAUGGUGGGGGUUGGAAAGUUUCGGCGGUUGGGGAUGGACUCGCGGCUUAUCAGCUUGUUGGUGGGGUAGUGGCUUACCAAGGCUUUGACGGGUAGCCGGCCUGAGAGGGUGACCGGCCACAUUGGGACUGAGAUACGGCCCAGACUCCUACGGGAGGCAGCAGUGGGGAAUAUUGCACAAUGGGCGGAAGCCUGAUGCAGCAACGCCGCGUGCGGGAUGACGGCCUUCGGGUUGUAAACCGCUUUCGCCUGUGACGAAGCGUGAGUGACGGUAAUGGGUAAAGAAGCACCGGCUAACUACGUG
rnacentral:rRNA from 1 species